GACGAACCGAGCGAACGUUGUUCGGAAUUACUGGGCGUAAAGGGCGCGUAGGCGGCCUUCUAAGUCGAACGUGAAAUCCCCGGGCUCAACCCGGGAACUGCGUCCGAUACUGGAAGGCUUGAAUCCGGGAGAGGGAUGCGGAAUUCCAGGUGUAGCGGUGGAAAUGCGUAGAUAUCUGGAGGAACACCGGUGGCGAAGGCGGCAUCCUGGACCGGCAUUGACGCUGAGGCGCGAAAGCCAGG
rnacentral:rRNA from 1 species